rnacentral:misc_RNA from 1 species
GAUGAAGAACGUAGCGAAAUGCGAUACGUAAUGUGAAUUGCAGAAUUCAGUGAAUCAUCGAAUCUUUGAACGCAUAUUGCGGUCUCUGGUAUUCCGGAGAGCAUGCUUGUUUGAGUAUCAGUAAACACCUCAACUUCCAUAUCUUUUUUGAAAUGGGAGUUGGACUUGAGUGAUCCCAACGCUUUUCCUCACCGAAAAGUGGCGGGUUACUUGAAAUGCAGGUGCAGCUGGACUUUUCUCUGAGCUAUAAGCAUAUCUAUUUAGUCUGCCUAAAAAACAGAUUAUUACCUUUGCUGCAGCUAACAUAAAGGAGAUUAGUUCUUGUGCUGACUGAUGCAGGAUUCACAAAGACAGGCUUCGGCCGACUUUGUAAACUCGAUCUCAAAUCAAGUAAGACUACCCGCUGAACUUAAGCAUAUCAAUAAGCGGAGGA